UACGCCGCGUGAGGGAUGAAGGCCUCUGGGCUGUAAACCUCUUUUAUCAAGAGAAGAAGAUCUGACGGUACUUGAUGAAUAAGCCACGGCUAAUUCCGUGCCAGCAGCCGCGGUAAUACGGGAGUGGCAAGCGUUAUCCGGAAUUAUUGGGCGUAAAGCGUCCGCAGGCGGUCUUGUAAGUCUGUCGUUAAAGCGUGGAGCUUAACUCCAUUUAAGCGAUGGAAACUGCAAGACUAGAGUGUGGUAGGGGCAGAGGGAAUUCCCGGUGUAGCGGUGAAAUGCGUAGAUAUCGGGAAGAACACCAGUGGCGAAGGCGCUCUGCUGGGCCAUAACUGACGCUCAUGGACGAAAGCCAGGGGAGCGAAAGGGAUUAGAUACCCCUGUAGUCCUGGCCGUAAACGAUGAACACUAGGUGUCGGGGGAAUCGACCCCCUCGGUGUCGUAGCCAACGCGUUAAGUGUUCCGCCUGGGGAGUACGCACGCAAGUGUGAAACUCAAAGGAAUUGACGGGGGCCCGCACAAGCGGUGGAGUAUGUGGUUUAAUUCGAUGCAACGCGAAGAACCUUACCAGGGUUUGACAUCCUGCGAAUCUCUUGGAAACGAGAGAGUGCCUUCGGGAACG
rnacentral:rRNA from 1 species